rnacentral:rRNA from 1 species
UACAGAGGGGGCCAGCGUUAUUCGGAAUUAUUGGGCGUAAAGAGCUCGUAGGCGGCUUGGCAAGUCGGGUGUGAAACCUCCAGCUCAACCUGGAGACGCCACCCGAUACUGCCAUGGCUAGAGUCCGGUAGGGGACCACGGAAUUCCUGGUGUAGCGGUGAAAUGCGUAGAUAUCCGGAGGAACACCGGUGGCGAAGGCGGCUUCCUGGACCGGUUCUGGACACUGAGGAGCGAAAGCGUGGGGAGC